AGCUCCCCAGCGGGCGGGGCUUCUCUCCGAGCUGGGCUGAGCGAGCAGGGGCGGGGCGGGGCGGGGCGGCCCUACCGCGCGGUGAUUGGCUGGCGGGAGGUAACUGCUGCCCCAUUGGUUGUGGCCAGGACAGGGGCGCUCGCGGGAGAGGGCCGUUAACGCGCGCCCGGAGGUCGCGGCUGCCGUCACCCAGCGCUCGGCUGGCCCCGCCCCUCUCGCCCCGCAGCCAACCCACGGGCUCUGCUCUGCAGGCCGGAGCCGGCCGGGCCCAGCGCCUCCCCCCCAGCUCCAUUUCGGAGCCCGCCUUGUACACAGCCGAGGCCGGUUCGGCAGAGACCUGCGGGCACGCGGGGCCCUCUGCCUACAGGCGCUGCCGGCAGGGCCCGAGUGCUGCAGCGUGGCCCCGCUGGCUUCCUUGGAAGGAUGGAGCGGGUUUGUCCCGUCGCCGUCGGGCGCUUUGCGUUCUCUUUUUACAUUUCACUGAUUUUUCCCCCCGGGGAGUGUAUCCGCUUUACUGUGUCAGAUCUUUAACCUGUUGUCUGGCAGCCUGAAAUGUGUAACGUGAGAUUCAUCAGUGUACGUUUCGGAGCUUCCCGGCCUGCCUGUGUAUGGUGUGCAUCUUCUGGAGGAAUACCUAGCCCUACUUCAACAGGCAGCUUUGCACGUACACACGGACGACUUCCAGGUUGUCUUUCCAAGCUGUCAUGCUUUCCAGCUGUUGGGGUGACAGUGGCACAGCUGCAUUUUUUGCAUUCUCUGUGCACAGAUCUCCGAGGGAUGAUUGGUCUCAGAGUAUAGGAGUAAAGUUCGUCAUAGAAAUCAACAAAAGUAUUUCUAGAUUUAAAGUAAAAAAUGAACUGGCAGAUGAAGGUGAACUGAUAUUAACUAUCAGUUUAAACAUAGAUGGCUGCUGACUGGGCGUGGCUGGGAGUGAGCGCCAGAAGCUCAGAGAAGAAGGAGGGGACCACCGGUGCUCAGAUCGUGGCCCCACCACCUUCUCUGCCCCGAGGUCCCGCCCCUGCUCAGUCUCCUCCCCACGAGGCUGCUCCUGCACCAGGGGUGCUGGAACAAUUUGUAUAGUGGGGGUGCUGAGAGACAUUGAAGCAAACUGCAAACCCUUCAUAUAAUGGAAACCAUUUCAAGCCAUGAAGUGCGGCAGCACCCCCCACACCCUUAGUUCCAGCACCUAUGGCCUACAUGACACCUCUGCUUUGACCUGAGGACCUGCUCUUGCUUGGCUUCUUCCCCUGAGGUUCUGCCCCCGCUGUGCCUUGUCCCACCUCUGCUCCACCUCUUCCCCUAAGGCCCCCCACCCGCUACCCUCUGCCCUGAAACCUCCUGCCUGUCUGCAACUUACUCCUCUGCGCUCUGUCCUUUGAGGCCGCCUGCCUGCUGCUUGCUCCUCUCUGCUCCCUCUCCUGAGUCCCCCACCUGCCCACUGCUCGUUUCUGCCCCUCAAUGCUCCCCCUCCCCCCUGCUUGCUUUUUUUUUAUGCCCUGUCCUGCGUUAAGGGUGAGCGAUGGGGUGUUAGGGGAUGUAGAGGAGCAAGCAGAGGGUGGGGCCUCAGGGGAAGAGGUGGAGCGGGGGCGGGAAGAGAUGGCACAAGGACGGGGCCAUGGGGAAAGAGGCCAAGCGGGGGCAUGGCCUCAGGGCAGAGCACAGGCGGGAACACAGUCUGGGCACAGGUGCCCCUCUACUUCUUUGGGGGCUUUCAGCGGCAGCGCUCCAAAGGCGGCGGGCUGGCAUGCCUCCAAAGGGAGUUGCGCUGCAUUGGGCAUUUCUUGCCCCAUUUUGGGAGGCUUACCUUCUCCAAGCCCCUUAUACCUGCCACCCAUGAGCUCAAAGGAAUUUAUCCACAAUUUGCAUGCUACAACACAGAUUCCAAAGAGUUUAAAGGAAUUAUAAAGGUUAAUUUCAAUGAUAGUAGUAUAACUUAAUUUACCUGAGACCAUAGUUCGGCUUUAAUUUUUUCAAUCCGUUCUUUUACUUCUAAUUCCUUUUUUUCACAUUGUUCUUGUUGAAGAUCUGCCCCAAGCUCUAUGUAUAUUCAACAGAAAUGGAUCAUGCGCAACAUGUAACAAAUAUAAAGAAACUGUAAACUGUCUCCUGCCUGUUUGCUUGAUUUGAUAUUUAAA